rnacentral:lncRNA from 1 species
GUAGAGGUGCCUGAGUUGGUGCUUGGGAGAGUCAGAAAAUACUCAUUGUGGGGUUACACUGGAAAAUCAGGAAGCACACCAAGGGAUGGAUCUCGGCUGUCUUUGAGGCCUGCUUGUGGCCUUCUCCAAAGAAUUCUAUGUGCAAGCUAUGUUUUGUGGUAGGUGGGGAGCAUAUGUUUCACUCACACCUAUGGAAACUCAGUCUGAGGUUAGAGGAAACCAUCAACUUGGCCAAUUCUAGUAUUAUCUGACUGCUUGAAAGCAACAUGUAAACCCAAGAUCUUGAAGCCAACCAAUAUGGAAUAUUUUUUUGAGUACUAAAGCACUUACCUAACCUAAUGUUCUCAGAUCCAAAAAGUUUCCUUCCUCCUGCAAAAUACUUUGUCCUUUCUAACAUGGACUCUAUUGCUACAGUAAAAUCCUGACCUUGUGCUGAGAAGAUUGAUCUGCUCAUCAUUUUUUGAAUCCAGGUUUAAAAGCCAAGCAGAGCCGUGUUCAGCAAAACACCAAUGGCAGCAGUUUAUCUUCAUCCUCUUAACAUAGUUCUGCCUCUGUUGUGUUCCUCUCCAAGUGGUGAAAAGAUGUUUUUUCCUAGGUCUGUUUGAAGGAGGUUGGUGUUGGAGGUCUGACCCACAGCAGAACUGUGAUUUGAUAACUUCAGCAGUGUGAACCCUUCUGGGGAACUUUUCUACCAGUGUUACCAGCCUCACAUGAUGAUAGUUUUGUCUGCUCUGGUCAUAUUUGGGCCAAGCUAACCACAGAGAGCUUUCCUGAUUUUGCUUUCUUCUGGCAUUACAGAUGCUACAUGCCUGAGUAAUGAACCAGAAGUUGAAACCCAUUUAGGAAUGUCCUAAAUCAUCAUCAAAGGAAGGGCUUGUAUUCAAGCAUGGUCUGCAUCCCCAUCCUGGUAUUUCUGCUUGAGGACUGGUCGUAGCUGAGGCUGCUGACAAUUUUGCUGUGAUAUUCUGGUGGAGGAGGCAUCAGUCCCUGAGGCUGCCCUGGCACCCUCCCCUGGCAUUUGAGCAAGGGAGGUGUGCAUUUUUGUGGUUGCUCUGACAUGGAGCGGGAGGAGGGAUUCAUGUCAGAGAUUUCUGGCUGGGGGCAGCUGUCUCUGACAUGCUCACAGUGGGCAGGAGACAUCAUGUGCUGGAAGUCCCCUUGACCUGGCAGCCCUGGCAGCCAGUUUGCUAUCCCUGGACCUUCAGCCAGGCAUCUUCAUAGUCUGGGAAGAGUCACCCUUCCCCGUGGACUGGAGGGAGUGAUAUUGUCCCUGUGUUUGAUGCUGCUUGCAGUCUGAUGGCAUCCUCAAAAUCGGCAUGUGAUGGCUUGGGGAGGAACAACAGGUGGUGAGAGAAGGGUGUAGCUUUUUCCUUUUCACCUGAAGGAAACCAGAAGUGUUCUUCCUGUGUGGAAGUUCAGUCAUCUGAGCACAAUUCACCCGAGAGGAGUGGGACCUCACACUUCUGC